rnacentral:rRNA from 1 species
GACGAACGCUGGCGGCGUGCCUAACACAUGCAAGUCGAGCGGAGAUGUACUGAAGAUUUAUCGGAUGUACAUCUUAGCGGCGGACGGGUGAGUAACGCGUGGGCAACCUGCCUUCCACUGGGGGAUAACACAGGGAAACCUGUGCUAAUACCGCAUGACAUCACAUAGGGCAUCCUGUGUGAUCAAAGGAGUGAUCCGGUGGAAGAUGGGCCCGCGUCCGAUUAGCUAGUUGGUGAGGUAACGGCUCACCAAGGCGACGAUCGGUAGCCGGACUGAGAGGUUGGCCGGCCACAUUGGGACUGAGACACGGCCCAGACUCCUACGGGAGGCAGCAGUGGGGAAUAUUGCGCAAUGGGGGGAACCCUGACGCAGCGACGCCGCGUGAAGGAAGAAGGCCUUCGGGUUGUAAACUUCUUUGAUGAGGGACGAAGGAAGUGACGGUACCUCAAAAACAAGACCACGGCUAACUACGUGCCAGCAGCCGCGGUAAAUAGCGUACUCG